GAUGAACGCUGGCGGCGUGCCUAAUACAUGCAAGUCGAGCGAACAGACGAGGAGCUUGCUCCUCUGACGUUAGCGGCGGACGGGUGAGUAACACGUGGAUAACCUACCUAUAAGACUGGGAUAACUUCGGGAAACCGGAGCUAAUACCGGAUAAUAUAUUGAACCGCAUGGUUCAAUAGUGAAAGACGGUUUUGCUGUCACUUAUAGAUGGAUCCGCGCCGCAUUAGCUAGUUGGUAAGGUAACGGCUUACCAAGGCGACGAUGCGUAGCCGACCUGAGAGGGUGAUCGGCCACCCGGGAACUGAGACACGGUCCAGGCUCCUACGGGAGGCAGCAGUAGGGAAUCGUCCGCAAUGGGCGAAAGCCUGACGGAGCAACGCCGCGUGAGUGAUGAAGGUCUUCGGAUCGUAAAACCCUGUUAUUAGGGAAGAACAAAUGUGUAAGUAACUAUGCACGUCUUGACGGUACCUAAUCAGAAAGCCACGGCUAACUACGUG
rnacentral:rRNA from 1 species